rnacentral:rRNA from 1 species
UAGGGAAUAUUGCUCAAUGGGCGAAAGCCUGAAGCAGCAACGCCGCGUGUGUGAUGAAGGCCUUCGGGUCGUAAAGCACUUUUCUGGGAGAUGAGAAAGGACAGUAUCCUAGGAAUAAGUCUCGGCUAACUACGUGCCAGCAGCCGCGGUAAAACGUAGGAGGCGAGCGUUAUCCGGAUUCACUGGGCGUAAAGCGCGUGCAGGUGGCGCGGUAAGUUGGGCGUGAAAGCUCCCGGCUCAACUGGGAGAGGUCGUCCAAUACUACCGUGCUUGAGAGCAGAAGAGGAAGAUGGAAUUCCCGGUGUAGUGGUGGAAUGCGUAGAUAUCGGGAGGAACACCAGUGGCGAAGGCGAUCUUCUGGUCUGUCUCUGACACUCAGACGCGACAGCUAGGGUAGUAAACGGGAUUAGAGACCCCGGUAAUCCUAGCCGUAAACGAUGUGAACUUGGCGUUGGUGGGUUAAACUCCGAUCAGUGCCGCAGC